GAUCACUAAAGCACUCUUUAUCACCCACGAACUGCUCACCGCCAAUACUCGAUCAUCGAACAUCAACACACAAACAAUUGAGACCACACAUACACAGCAAACAAAGCUACCAUUAGAACAAUACACCAAAUAUAUCAAAAAAACAAACCAAAAGAUUUUAAAGAUGUCCUACACGCUGCUACGAACACAUAGGCUCAAUGAUCCCGC
rnacentral:lncRNA from 1 species